AAACCAAUCAAUGAUUCUCCUGGGUGCUUUCAGCUCUUGGAACCGGGGAAGGAAGCAGCACCCAUGAAAACCCUCAGCCUCCCAGGAAGAAAAGGGCCCCCGGGUUGACCCCAGUGUUGAAAGCGAGGAAACGUUUAUGAACAGAGUGGAAGUCAAAGUGAAAAUACCAGAAGAGCUGAAACCGUGGCUAGUCGAUGACUGGGACCUGAUCACCCGGCAAAAGCAGAGAACAUGCUGUGAAGGAAGUCGUGGCCGGCAUCAAGGAGUACUUCAGCGUCAUGCUGGGCACGCAGCUGCUGUAUAAGUUUGAGCGGCCGCAGUCCGCCGAGGUCUUGGCCGACCACCCCGAUUCGCCCAUGUCCCAGGUGUCUGGCGCGCCCCACCUCCUGCGGCUGUUCGUCGGAUUGGCGCAAUGCUGGCCUACACACCUCUCGAUAAGAAGAGUUUGGCCCUGCUGUUGAACGACUUACACGAUUUCCUGAGUAUCUUGCCAAGAAUUCCUCUGCGUUGUUUAGCGCAAGAGACUAUGAGGUUGCGCCUCCCGAGUAUCACCGGAAAUCCAUGUAAGCCUCUCUCUGAGAGGUGGGAAAGGGGACUGCUGGGAGCGGGGACCCGUUACCGGAAAAUGGGGUCCUUGUUUCACUGCGGCCACACAGCUGCCCACUUCCACGUUCCUCCAUGGCCUCCCCUCCUGUGCAGUUGACACGAGGCUCAGCGGAUAUUACGUCUUUGGAUGGAACUGAUGCCAAGUAGCCACAGUCAGAACAGACCACGGAACAGGAGACGGGUUCAAGAUUGGGAGAGGAGUACGGACAUCAGGGCUGCAUCCUCUCACCCUCCCUGUUCAACUUGUACGCAGAAGACAUCAUGCAACGUAUGUGCGGGGCUUGACGAAUCCAAGGCUGGAGUUAAAAUUGCUGGAAGAAACAUUAUCAACCUUAGGUAUGCAGAUGAUACCACUCUGAUGAAAGCUGAAAGUGAGGAGGAGCCAAGGUGGAAGAAAGAAGAGUGCGCAAAAGCCGGGCUGCAGUUAAACAUCAAGAAAACUAAGGUGAUGGCAACCAGACCGAUUGACAACUGGCCAAGAGAGGGAGAAAACGUGGAGGCCGUGACAGACUUCAUAUUUCUAGGCGUGAAGAUCACUGCAGAUGCAGACUGCAGGCAGGAAAUCAGAAAAGUUUCCUUCUUGGGAGCAAUACUCU